UACGUAGGUGGCAAGCGUUGUCCGGAAUUAUUGGGCGUAAAGCGCGCGCAGGCGGUCCUUUAAGUCUGAUGUGAAAAGCCCACGGCUCAACCGUGGAGGGUCAUUGGAAACUGGGGGGACUUGAGUACAGAAGAGGAAAGCGGAAUUCCACGUGUAGCGGUGAAAUGCGUAGAGAUGUGGGGGAACACCAGUGGCGAAGGCGGCUUUCUGGUCUGUAACUGACGCUGAGGCGCGAAAGCGUGGGGAGCAAACAGG
rnacentral:rRNA from 1 species